rnacentral:rRNA from 1 species
ACACGACUACAUUAGAUACCCGCGUAGUCCUAGCCGUAAACGAUACUCGCUAGGUGUCGGCCACGGUGCGACCGUUGUCGGUGCCGUAGGGAAGCCGUGAAGCGAGCCACCUGGGAAGUACGGCCGCAAGGCUGAGACUUAAAGGAAUUGGCGGGGGAGCACCACAACGGGUGGAGCUUGCGGUUUAAUUGGAUUCAACGCCGGAAAUCUUACCGGGACCGACAGCAACAUGAAGGCCAGGCUGAAGACUUUGCCGGAUUAGCUG